rnacentral:lncRNA from 10 species
CAGAUGGGGAAGCUGAGGCCCAGAGAAGUUAAGUAAGUUGUCUAAGUUCACAAAGUUACCAGAAGAUUGUGGAGUGGUCUUCCAGGGAGAGUUAUCUUGUAUCAGGAAGGAGAGAUGAUUACUUAGGAAAGCCCAAGAAACAACAGGUAUUUGAAAGCUAUAGCAGUUCAUCUGGGGUUGAUCUGGGAGCAUACAGCAAAAAAAGAGCUAAAAUGCAAGGCACCAACGUAGAAAAGCCCACCUGGUCUCUCUUCUUAGGGUGGCUCCUCUCUGUCUCUCUGCCUCUGCCUCUUGUCCUAGCCCAGCAUGGCCGCAGGUCCCAGGUUCUGUGACAUCACAGUGCAGUGCCCACAGCUCACUGUUGGUUCCUGCCAUUGAGAUUAUCUGAUUGGCCACUGGCCAGCCAAUGGUGGAUCAGACUUUGGAGCAGGUGAUCCUUGGACGCCCACAGUACAUCACCUUCAUGAGCGCAUCAGUGAACACCAGUCUAAGGAAGACAUCUCUGAACGUAAUUUUGGAGAUUUUGAUGAGUUCCAUUGAAACAAGGAGGAAUGUGAUGUCCAGUAUCAGUUCUGCAGACCCAAGGACAAAGAAAAUUCUGUGAUAAACUCAUCCAGUGUGACUGUAAUGAUACAAGACACCGGACUUUCAAAUCAACAAUUGUUUCAAAAGACUCCUACUGGAUUCCUGCUAGUGAUGGGAGAAAAUUAUCAUUCUGCUAGUUAAUCUGUAGCCAGAGAUGAUUAAGGAGGUCAUUAAAGGAAAACAAGCUGCCCACCAUGCUGAUGCCUGGUUGUUCAGAUCGUUGAGGUGGUGUAGAGAUGACGCACACUGGCUCAGUUUACCCACAUUUGGAUCUACGGACCUGCAAG